rnacentral:rRNA from 1 species
AUUGAACGCUGGCGGCAGGCUUAACACAUGCAAGUCAAGCGGGGGAAGGUAGCUUGCUACCGGACCUAGCGGCGGACGGGUGAGUAAUGCUUAGGAAUCUGCCUAUUAGUGGGGGACAACAUCUCGAAAGGGAUGCUAAUACCGCAUACGUCCUACGGGAGAAAGCAGGGGAUCUUCGGACCUUGCGCUAAUAGAUGAGCCUAAGUCGGAUUAGCUAGUUGGUGGGGUAAAGGCCUACCAAGGCGACGAUCUGUAGCGGGUCUGAGAGGAUGAUCCGCCACACUGGGACUGAGACACGGCCCAGACUCCUACGGGAGGCAGCAGUGGGGAAUAUUGGACAAUGGGGGGAACCCUGAUCCAGCCAUGCCGCGUGUGUGAAGAAGGCCUUAUGGUUGUAAAGCACUUUAAGCGAGGAGGAGGCUAAUUUAGCUAAUACCUAGAGAUAGUGGACGUUACUCGCAGAAUAAGCACCGGCUAACUCUGUGCCAGCCGCCGCCGUAA